rnacentral:rRNA from 1 species
UACGAAGGGGGCUAGCGUUGUUCGGAAUUACUGGGCGUAAAGCGCGCGCAGGCGGUCUUCCAAGUCAGUGGUGAAAGCCCGGAGCUCAACUCCGGAACUGCCAUUGAAACUGUUGGACUUGAGUACGAGAGAGGUGAGUGGAAUUCCCAGUGUAGAGGUGAAAUUCGUAGAUAUUGGGGAGAACACCGGUGGCGAAGGCGGCUCACUGGCUCGUAACUGACGCUCAGGCGCGACAGCAUGGGGAUCAAACAGG